rnacentral:rRNA from 1 species
GACAGAGGUGCCAAGCGUUAGGCGGAAUCACUGGGCUUAAAGCGUGUGUAGGUGGAUUUGUAAGUACCUUGUGAAAUCCCAUGGCUCAACCAUGGAACUGCUCGGUAUACUGCGAAUCUUGAGCCACUUAGGGGCUACCGGAACAAAUGGUGGAGCGGUGAAAUGCGUAGAUAUCAGGAGGAACACCGGUGGCGAAGGCGGAUCUCUGGGCCUGUUCUGACGCUGAGGCGCGAAAGCUAGGGGAGCGAACAGG